UGCUUUACACAUGCAAAGUCGAACGGGUAACAGGUUUUCGGAUGCUGACGAGGUGGCGAACGGGGUGAGUAAUAUAUCGGGAACGUGCCCAGUAGUGGGGGAUAACCCGGCGAAAGCCGGAUUAAUACCCGCAUACGACCUACGGAUGAAAGGGGGGGAUCGCAAGACCUCUCGCGAUUGGAGCGGCCGAUAUCAGAUUAGGUAGUUGGUGGGGUAAAGGCCUACCAAGCCUGCGAUCCGUAGUUGGUCUGAGAGGACGACCAGCCACACUGGAACUGAGACACGGCCCAGACUCCUACGGGAGGCAGCAGUGGGGAAUUUUGGACAAUGGGCGCAAGCCUGAUCCAGCCAUGCCGCGUGCAGGAAGAAGGCCCUCGGGUUGUAAACUGC
rnacentral:rRNA from 1 species